CCUACGGGCGGCAGCAGUGAGGAAUAUUGGUCAAUGGACGAGAGUCUGAACCAGCCAAGUAGCGUGAAGGAUGACUGCCCUAUGGGUUGUAAACUUCUUUUAUAUGGGAAUAAAAUGUUCCACGUGUGGGAUUUUGUAUGUACCAUAUGAAUAAGGAUCGGCUAACUCCGUGCCAGCAGCCGCGGUAAUACGGAGGAUCCGAGCGUUAUCCGGAUUUAUUGGGUUUAAAGGGAGCGUAGGUGGAUUGUUAAGUCAGCUGGGAAAGUCCGCGGCUCAACCGUGGAAGUGCAGUUGAAACUGGAGGCCUUGAGUGCGCGCAGGGAAGACGGAAUUCAUGGUGUAGCGGUGAAAUGCUUAGAUAUCACGAAGAACUCCGAUCGCGAAGGCAAGGGACCGGGGUGCGACUGACGCUGAGGCUCGAAAGUGCGGGUAUCAAACAGGAUUAGAUACCCUUGUAGUC
rnacentral:rRNA from 1 species